rnacentral:rRNA from 1 species
ACGGGAGGCAGCAGUGGGGAAUAUUGCACAAUGGGGGAAACCCUGAUGCAGCAAUGCCGCGUGAGUGAAGAAGUAUUUCGGUAUGUAAAGCUCUAUCAGCAGGGAAGAUAAUGACGGUACCUGACUAAGAAGCUCCGGCUAAAUACGUGCCAGCAGCCGCGGUAAUACGUAUGGAGCAAGCGUUAUCCGGAUUUACUGGGUGUAAAGGGUGCGUAGGUGGCAUGGUAAGUCAGAUGUGAAAUACCGGGGCUCAACCCCGGAGCUGCAUUUGAAACUGCCAGGCUGGAGUACAGGAGAGGCAAGCGGAAUUCCUAGUGUAGCGGUGAAAUGCGUAGAUAUUAGGAGGAACACCAGUGGCGAAGGCGGCUUUCUGGACUGUAACUGACACUGAGGCUCGAAAGCGUGGGGAGCAAACAGGAUUAGAUACCCUGGUA